CAGCUUGUAGUUCAGUGGUAGAAUACUCGCUUAAACUUGCGAGAGAUCCAGGGUUCGAUUCCUUGCAAGCCUA
rnacentral:tRNA from 1 species